UUAAGAUACUAAGGGCAUACGGCGGAUGCCUUGGCGAUAUCUGCCGAAGAAGGACGCGACAAGCUGCGAAAAGCUGCGGAGAGGCGCAAAUAGCCAUUGAACCGCAGAUAUCCGAAUGGAGAAAUCCGGCAGGGCUCAUCCCCUGUCAUCCAUGUCUUAGAGCAUGAGAAGGUAAGCCGGUGAACUGAAACAUCUAAGUAGCCGGAGGAGAAGAAAUCAAACGAGAUACCCCAAGUAGCGGCGAGCGAACGGGGCAGAAGCCCAAACCGGAGAAGGAAACUUCACCGGGGUUGAGGACCGUCAGAGCUUAAGAAGAAGUUAGCCGAAACGCCUGGGAAGGCGUGCCGAAGACAGUGAGAGCCUGGUAGGCGAAAACGGAAACUUAGGAGACGGAAUCCAGAGUACCGCGGGACACGAGAAACCCCGUGGGAAGCAGGGGGGACCACCCUCCAAGGCAAAACACAGAUAUCGACCGAUAGCGCAUAGUACCGUGAGGGAAAGGUGAAAAGCACCCCGGGAGGGGAGUGAAAGAGAACCUGAAACCGUAUGUUUACAAGCAGUCGGAGACCGUAUAUAUACCAGGUCGACGGCGUGCCUAUUGAAGAAUGAACCAGCGAGUUACGAGGACCGGCAAGGUUAAGCAGGAAAUGCGGAGCCGAAGCGAAAGCGAGUCUUAAUAGGGCGAGAGUCGGAAUGCGUAGACCCGAAACCACAGUGAUCUACCCAUGUCCAGGCUGAAACACAGGUAAAAAUGUGCGGAGGGCCGAACCUAUAUCUGUUGAAAAAGGUUAGGAUGAGGUGUGGGUAGGGGUGAAAUUCCAAUCGAACGUGGAGAUAGCUGGUUCUCCCCGAAAUAGCUUUAGGGCUAGCCUCAGGUGGUGAUUACAGGCGGUAGAGCACUGAUCAGGAGAGGGACCUACCCGGUUACCAAACCCAGUCAAACUCCGAAUGGCUGUAAUCAAACCUGGGAGUCAGACUACGACUUAUAAGGGCCGUGGUCAAGAGGGAAACAGCCCAGAUCAUCAGCUAAGGUCCCAAAUGCCGUGCUAAGUGGCGAAGGAUGUGGCGUUUCAUAAACAACCAGGAUGUUGGCUCAGAAGCAGCCACCAUUCAAAGAGUGCGUAAUAGCUCACUGGUCGAGAGACGCUGCGCCGAAGAUGUCCGGGGCUCAAGCACGGAACCGAAGCUAUGGCAGAUUGCUUGCAAUCUGGGUAGGGGAGCGUUCUUAUCACGGAGAAGCGGUACCGUAAGGAGCCGUGGAGAGGUAAGAAGUGAGAAUGCUGGUAUGAGUAUCGAAAAGGCUGGUGAGAAUCCAGCCCACCGAAAGCCCGAGGGUUCCUGAGCAACGAUCGUCGUCUCAGGGUAAGUCGGGACCUAAGCCGAGGCAAAGACGCAUAGGCGAUGGAGAACAGGUUGAAAUUCCUGUACCGGAGCAGUCCGUCUGAGUGAAGGAGUGACGCAGCAGGGCACACGAGCAUGCGGUUGGAAGAGCAUGUCUAAGCCCGUAGCCCGUAUGGCAGGGAAAUCCGCCAUACAGAAGGGUGAGAGGUGAUGGGGAGUUAAAGGCAACUUUGACGAACUCGUGAAUCCCACACUGCCAAGAAAAGCUUCUAGCGAGGACUGAUCCGCCCGUACCGUAAACCGACACAGGUAGGCAGGGAGAGAAUCCUAAGGUGCGCGGGAAAACCCUCGUUAAGGAACUCGGCAAAUUGCAUCCGUAACUUCGGAAGAAGGAUGGCCCUGAGUAGGCGAAGAGUCAAGCACUUGGAACCGGAAAGGGCGGCAGAAAAGAGGCCCAAGCAACUGUUUACCAAAAACACAGGUGCCUGCGAAAGCGAAAGCUGACGUAUAGGUGCUGACGCCUGCCCGGUGCUGGAAGGUUAAGGAGAGAGGUUAGCGCAAGCGAAGCUUUGAAUUGAAGCCCCAGUGAACGGCGGCCGUAACUAUAACGGUCCUAAGGUAGCGAAAUUCCUUGUCGGGUAAGUUCCGACCUGCACGAAUGGUGU
rnacentral:rRNA from 1 species